AAGCUGGUGGGAGCAAACAAAUCAAAAGGGGAAUCUUAUAGAUUUCCAUGAUAUCCAGCAGCUGAACGGAGACGUCUUGGAGCAAAUGAUCGAUUCAAUUGGAGGAUUUGAUUUAGUAAUUGGCGGAAGCCCCUGCAACAACCUCACUGGAAGUAACAGGGUGACUAGAGACGGACUCGAAGGUAAAGAUUCUUCUCUAUUUUAUGACUAUGUUCGGGUAGUGGACUUGGUCAAAUCCAUUAUGUCUAAUCGUAGAGUGUGACGAAAAUAUGU
rnacentral:misc_RNA from 1 species